rnacentral:rRNA from 1 species
UACAGAGGGGGCAAGCGUUAUUCGGAAUUACUGGGCGUAAAGCGCGCGUAGGCGGCUUUGCAAGUCGAGUGUGAAAUCCCCAGGCUUAACCUGGGAACUGCAUUCGAGACUGCAUAGCUAGAGUAUGGGAGAGGGAAGUGGAAUUUCAGGUGUAGCGGUGAAAUGCGUAGAUAUCUGAAGGAACAUCAGUGGCGAAAGCGACUUCCUGGACCAAUACUGACGCUCAUGUGCGAAAGCGUGGGGAGCAAACAGG